rnacentral:rRNA from 1 species
UGGGGAAUAUUGCACAAUGGGGGGAAACCCUGAUGCAGCGACGCCGCGUGAGCGAAGAAGUAUUUCGGUAUGUAAAGCUCUAUCAGCAGGGAAGAAGAAUGACGGUACCUGACUAAGAAGCCCCGGCUAACUACGUGCCAGCAGCCGCGGUAAUACGUAGGGGGCAAGCGUUAUCCGGAUUUACUGGGUGUAAAGGGAGCGUAGACGGAUUAGCAAGUCUGAUGUGAAAGCCCGGGGCUCAACCCCGGUACUGCAUUGGAAACUGUCGUACUAGAGUGUCGGAGGGGUAAGUGGAAUUCCUAGUGUAGCGGUGAAAUGCGUAGAUAUUAGGAGGAACACCAGUGGCGAAGGCGGCUUACUGGACGAUAACUGACGCUGAGGCUCGAAAGCGUGGGGAGCAAACAGGAUUAGAUACCCUGGUAGU